GGGUGUAAAGUUCUCUGAGAUGCCUUACAUGGAUUCCCACCACUGCAAGAUAACCAUCGUAUGUAAAGUGUUAUGACCAGCAGAGCGUAAUUGAAGUGCAUUCCAGAGGGAAAGACAGCGGCUCAGGGACAUGACCCUAUGCCAGCCCACACCACAGUCUUGGUCAUCACUCCUGUUUCCAUGGUGUUAACAGCAGCAGUUACUUGGUUACGGAGAGCUUUUCCUUACGCCAGCACCCUAUCCAUAUCGCUUGGACAAAAAGCGUGUGUAGCUGUGACAUAGUUCACAUUCCACAACCACUGAAGGGUUGAAACAUGAACUUGAAAGUAAAUAGCUUUGUGGAGAUUCACAUCGAGGAGCACUGUGCAGUCAUUCAGAAGAAUAAACUCCAGCUCUGCCCGGUGAUGGCAGGGGUGUUAACAAUGCAGUAUUGAGCUCAAAAAGUAACUUGCUAAAAGGUGUGUUUGAUGAAAUUUAUUUUUGCAAAACAAUUACACAGGAUAAAGCC
rnacentral:lncRNA from 1 species